AUUCAGCACCACGAAUGCAGCCGCCGCCGCCGCCGCCCCCGCGUGGCACAGGAAGCGGAAGCCGAGGAACACCUUACAAAAUUCAGGCCGGGAGAAUGUGGUGCGUGUGCUUACAAUAGCCAAGGCUGUCUAAAAACAAGUUCUCCGACUUAAGAAAAAAUGAAUGGAUCAUCAUUGCUGCUACAAUUUCCUCUCUACCAUUUCCUUAAGUAUAUUAGGAAACCUCCUUUCACCAGUUUCUCCUGGAGAUCCAGCUGGAGAUCUUCAUUUCUAUAUGGCCAACAUGUUAAUUCACUACAACAAUGUUGUUCAAAGAAGAUGAUACUUUUCAAGGGAUUGAAAAGUAGCUUGUGUUGUCCUGCAACUAAAGAACAACAGACACAUGAUCUCUCUGACAAGGACCAAAGACUUCUAGACAGACUGUAUGGUGGACUAAUCCAAGGACACAGGGCCUGUUUGGCCGAAGCUAUUACUCUUAUAGAAUCCACACACAGCAGGAAGAAGGAGAUUGCACAGGUGCUUCUUCAGAAGGUACUAUCCUACCACAGAGAACAAGAACAAUUAAAUAAAGGAAAACCACUAGCCUUUAGAGUGGGAUUAUCAGGCCCCCCUGGAGCUGGGAAAUCAACGUUCAUCGAAUGCUUUGGGAAAAUGCUCACUGAAAGAGGGUACAAAGUAUCUGUCCUGGCAGUGGACCCUUCUUCAAGCACUAGUGGUGGUUCACUCUUGGGAGAUAAAACGCGAAUGACUGAGUUGUCAAGAGAUAUGAAUGCUUACAUCAGGCCAUCUCCAACCAGGGGAACACUGGGCGGCGUGACACGAACCACAAAUGAAGCCAUUCUGUUGUGUGAAGGAGGAGGCUAUGACAUUGUUCUUGUGGAAACAGUAGGUGUGGGGCAGUCGGAAUUUGCUGUUGCUGAUAUGGUUGAUAUGUUUGUAUUGCUGUUGCCGCCAGCAGGAGGAGAUGAAUUACAGGGUAUCAAACGAGGUAUAAUUGAGAUGGCAGAUCUAGUUGUUGUAACUAAAGCUGAUGGAGAUCUCAUUGUGCCAGCACGAAGAAUUCAAGCAGAAUAUGUCAGUGCUCUGAAAUUACUCCGUAAGCGUUCAAAAGUUUGGAAGCCAAAGGUAAUACGGAUCUCUGCCAAAACUGGAGAAGGUAUCUCUGACAUAUGGGAUAAGAUGACAGAAUUCCAAGACCUCAUGUUUACAAGUGGGUGUUUUUGGUAAACCAGCUUGACCAUCUACCUGGACAUUAUGACAGUGUUAAAGGUUUUCACCGUAGUUUGUUAGACGCUUCAAGUGGUACAAAGAAAUUUCAAGUCCAUUCAUAUAAAAUUAAACACAAUGCAGUCAUUAUUGCAUCACCAGUAGCACCUUCCAGUGUAAUUCAGCAGAGGAUAAGACAUGCUCCUUUAAAUGGAAGCCAAGCUAGAGAGGAAACAAGGGCUAACUCUUGUUCCAGCCAGGAUAGUCUAACUGGGUGGCCUGUGACUGCGAGUACUCAUUCUCUAACAAAGUUACAGAAAACGCAUUCAAAACCUGCAAGAGGAAAUCACAGACACUAUUACUUAAGUCAAACACCACAGCCUUGAGGUAGGGAAGGGAACAUCUUUGCAUCCAUUCCACCAACUUUUUACCUUUCUCUGACUUUUCUUCUGUGUUUAAGAAGGUCUGACUACCAGGCACUACGGAAAUAACUAGGAGGUUUGAACCCUUGAGU